AAGGUCUUCGGAUCGUAAAACUCUGUUAUUAGGGAAGAACAUAUGUGUAAGUAACUGUGCACAUCUUGACGGUACCUAAUCAGAAAGCCACGGCUAACUACGUGCCAGCAGCCGCGGUAAUACGUAGGUGGCAAGCGUUAUCCGGAAUUAUUGGGCGUAAAGCGCGCGUAGGCGGUUUUUUAAGUCUGAUGUGAAAGCCCACGGCUCAACCGUGGAGGGUCAUUGGAAACUGGAAAACUUGAGUGCAGAAGAGGAAAGUGGAAUUCCAUGUGUAGCGGUGAAAUGCGCAGAGAUAUGGAGGAACACCAGUGGCGCCCCGACUUUCUGGUCUGUAACUGACGCUGAUGUGCCGAAAGCGUGGGGAUCAAACAGGAUUAGAUACCCUGGUAGUCCACGCCGUAAACGAUGAGUGCUAAGUGUUAGGGGGUUUCCGCCCCUUAGUGCUGCAGCUAACGCAUUAAGCACUCCGCCUGGGGAGUACGACCGCAAG
rnacentral:rRNA from 1 species